UACGUAGGGUGCAAGCGUUGUCCGGAAUUAUUGGGCGUAGAGAGCUUGUAGGCGGUUUGUCGCGUCUGCUGUGAAAUUUCGGGGCUCAACCCCGAACUUGCAGUGGGUACGGGCAGACUAGAGUGUGGUAGGGGAGACUGGAAUUCCUGGUGUAGCGGUGAAAUGCGCAGAUAUCAGGAGGAACACCGGUGGCGAAGGCGGGUCUCUGGGCCGAUACUGACGCUGAGGAGCGAAAGCGUGGGGAGCGAACAGG
rnacentral:rRNA from 1 species